AAAUAAAAAUGAGGCACAGAUGUGUCCUUUUCCAUCUCUUCUUCUCUUCCGCUCUUGAAGCAUUGUUAUUUAAAACACCUAUCCAAUUUGGCUCAGGGGCCUAGUACACCGUGGUGUCAUAGCCCAUUGAAAUCUGAGAAGGACAGGUCUGACCCCAGCCAGCAAACUAAUUAGAACUGCAGCAGCAGCAGAAGCAAGGAGCUGAGCUGAAAUAACAGGCAAGAUGAUGUCACAGCAUCCUUUCAUGCUGAGGAUACCCCUCCGGGCAAAGGAACCCCAGUUAUUAGGAACAACUGGACUUCACUUCUUGAGAGAGAGUGGGAGAAUGACAUGCUGCACUUAACCAAAAAAAAAGAAGAAAGAAAGAAAGACUUUUCUAUCUGAAAUUCAACUGCUUUAAAAAAGCUUUAGAAAUUGGGGUACUUGUAUACAGAAAUGGUACUCCACCCUGAGUGGCAAUAUUAUUUUGCUGUUACCUCUGUUAAACUGAACUGUAAUCUUUAAAUAAUAUAUGUACAUUGGAAAGUGAGUGUGCUUGGGUAACUGUUAAUUUGUAAGAGUUGUAAUCAGUACAAAUUCAGUAAGUGCUUUUUGUAAUAGGACUGAACAUAAUGAAUUGAUUUGGUAUUCAUGCAGAUGUCACAAGUAAUUUCAGAGCUGUUACACUGUAAUUUUGUAGCACUUAAUAGAGAUUAUGGCGGUAGCAAUUUUGUCACUGUAGAUAAGGGGCUCUUUAGUGUUUCCUUCAUAAAUUUUCAGCUUCUGCUUUUCAGGUGUUUAUGAUUUAGGCCAAAGGUGAAAUCCCCUGGCCUAAUAAAACCAGGGCAUAAUUGACCAAGCCCAGAAACAGAGAUGGGCCAAGCAGCAAAAUUCAGAGCGGAUUUUCAACACCACAAAGUUUGGGAAGAGAGUUCAGAUCCGGAGCUUUGGUUCAACCCAUUAUACAAUCAAAUAUACAGAAUCACAUUGAG